rnacentral:rRNA from 1 species
UACGAAGGGGGCUAGCGUUGCUCGGAAUUACUGGGCGUAAAGGGCGCGUAGGCGGCACUGUUAGUCAGGCGUGAAAGUCCUGGGCUCAACCUGGGAACUGCGCUUGAUACGGCAGAGCUAGAGGAUGGAAGAGGGUCGCGGAAUUCCCAGUGUAGAGGUGAAAUUCGUAGAUAUUGGGAAGAACACCGGUGGCGAAGGCGGCGACCUGGUCCAUUACUGACGCUGAGGCGCGACAGCGUGGGGAGC